rnacentral:rRNA from 1 species
GACGAACGCUGGCGGCGUGCCUAAUACAUGCAAGUCGAACGAGUGGCGGACGGGUUAGUAACACGUGGGAACCUACCCAUCAGAGGGGGAUAACUACUGGAAACGGUAGCUAAUCCCGCCUACCAUCAGAUGUGCCCAGAUGGGAGUAGCUUGUUGGUGGGGUAACGGCUCACCAAGGCGACGAUCCCUAGCUGGUCUGCGAGGAUGACCAGCCACACUGGAACGUAGACACGGUCCAGACUCCUACGGGAGGCAGCAGUGGGGAAUAUGGCACAAUGGGCGCAAGCCUGAUGCAGCCAUGCCGCGUGUAUGAAGAAGGCCUUCGGGUUGUAAAGGACGUUCAGCGGGGAGGCGUUACCCGCAGAAGAAGCACCGGCUAACUCCGUGCCAGCAGCCGCGGUAAUUC